UUUCUAUGAGCGAAUGAGUCCAUACUUAUUUAUCAUUAGAAAGACCUAUUCGUAAUAAUUUGAGUUUAUUCAUUCUGUCUUUCUUUAUGAAUUUUGAGAAUCUAUGGAUAAAAGAAAUACGAUAAAAACCAAUAUGAAUAUUAUAAAGACAAUAAAAAAAUUGUUACGUUUCCACCUCAAAGUGAAAUAUAGUAUUUAAUUCGUUCUUUCAUUUAAUGCCUAUUGGUGUUCCAAGAGUUGUAUUCCGAAAUCCUGGAGAUCCAAUUUCAUCUUGGGUUGACAUAUAGUGCGACUUGUCAGAUAUAUUGGGUCAUAUGGUAUUUCCCCGUUCUCUCCCCCGAUCGAGAUAUCCCCCGUUUCGCCCAAGAAAGAUAAAUUGAAUCAUCAAAAAUUUGGAGCGUGAAGUGCAAUUAGAUCCAUUUUUGAGGGGAUUCAUAUUACUAUUAUCAAUUAGAAUAAUUUAUGGUUGGCUUGGUUGGACUAAAUAAAUGAAGUAUCCAGGCUCCGUUUAGAAAAAACCCAAUUGGAUUGGUAAGAUAUCUAUGUAAGAUAUCUAUGAUUGCUAUUCAUAUUUUUUCUUUGUAAAGAGAUCCUAAUUGUCAAGCAAAGUUAUCUCAACUCUAAUAAAUACUUGUAUAAAAUGAAUUGAAAAAAAAAAAAAAAAAUACAAAAAGAAAUGGUAAUGGGAGCAUUUGUCCUAUAUGUACAAAUCCAAAUCGGGCGGAUCUUUACCCGGAGUAGAGCAUAAACCUAAAAAGAUGAAACAGACCCAUUCAGGAACAAGAAAAUACCAUCGCGGUUUGGAUUAAAUCUCGAUGAAAGAAUACAUCAAUGAGAAGUUAAUUCGAUAAGUUUAAUGACCCUUUCUUAUAACUUCGAAUUUUAUAAUAGAAAAUAUCAAAAAGGAGUAAAAACUCGUCUUUAUUGAAAAAUCGAAGAAAAGCCCUUUCGUUAGAAGUAAGAAAGAACCCUUGUAGAAAAAAAGAAAGAGGACUGGAAUCUCUACAUUGAUUCACAAUUUUUUUGAACCGUAUGCAUCAAAAGGCGCAUGUACGGUUCCUAAGGGAUACAAUUUUACCCUAAUCAACCGACUUUAUCGAGAAAGAUUACUUUUUUUAGGCCAAGGGAUUGGUACCGAGCUUUCGAAUCAACUUAUUGGUCUUAUGUUGUAUCUCAGUAUGGAGGAUGAGAACAAAGACCUGUAUUUGUUUGUAAACUCUCCUGGGGGCUGGGUAAUACCUGGGAUCGCCAUUUAUGAUACUAUGCAAUUUGUGCGACCAGAUAUCCAUACAAUAUGCCUAGGAUUAGCUGCUUCAAUGGGAUCUUUUAUCCUGGCCGGAGGACAACUUACCAAACGUAUAGCAUUCCCUCACGCUUGGCGCCAAUGAGGUUUUUAUUUGAGAGAAAAAAGAAGACUAUGCCUUCGCCAUAUGAAUACUAAGUAAUAAUAGCAUGGCACUUCGAAUUCGAUAUGAGAAAUUUUUGUAUUGUUUUUUUUUUCAAAACAUUAGAUUCUGUAUCGAGAGAGUAGUAUGAGAUAAGGGGUAUUUCCGAUUUUCUAUUAUAUAUCGGGAGUUCAGUUCAGCGUCACAAACUUUUUGUUUUCAUGCCGGAGAGUUCUUAACAAUAUUUAUGUUAUGAAAGAGUACGAAAAAAAAAUAAUUUUUCCUUAUUUGAUCGGAUUAAAAAGAAACUUUGGGAUUGCUGAAUCACAGACAAAAAAAAGAAAAAAUAAACAUAUAAAGCAACGGAGCCAUCAUAGUAUUUUUGAAUUCCUCCGAAAGGAAGGAUGGCAAUUUGAUUAUUUACCCAUCUGAGUCUGAUAGAUUCUAUUUUUCUCUUUCUUCAAUGGGGGUCAAUUUUCUUGUAGAGCCGUAUGCACAAAAGAUGCCUGUACGGUUGUUCAAUUCUAUCUUUUUUCUAUUCUUUAUCUUUCUUUUUUCUUUGCUUUAUCAUGCGAGAUAGGGGAAGCUUUUAUUUUGUUAUAUCAUCAGGGUAAUGAUACAUGAACCUUAUAGUGGUUUUUAUAUGGCACAAGUAGGCGAAUUUGUCCUGGAAGCGAUAGAAAUGGCGAAACUGCGUGAAACCCUCACAAGGGUUUAUGCAGAAAAAACGGGCCAACCCGUGUGGGUUAUACACGAAGAUAUGGAAAGAGAUAUUUUUAUGUCAGCAACAGAAGCCCAAGCUUAUGGAAUUGUUGAUUUUGUAGCGGUUCAAGGAAAAGAACAUGGAUUUCACGCAGAUCUAUGAUUUGAGAUUUUAUCUUCGAAUUGAAUAUUCUAUUAAAUAGAAGUAAUUCACCAUCAUUCGGUUAGGAUCAAUCUAAACCAACCCAUCAUAUUAUGUAUACGAUUCAACAUGCCAACUAUUAAACAACUUAUUAGAAAUACAAGACAGCCAAUCAGAAAUGUCACGAAAUCCCCCGCUCUUCGGGGGUGCCCUCAGCGUCGAGGAACAUGUACUAGGGUGUAUGUGCGACUCGUUUAGAUCAUGAGCUGGC
rnacentral:lncRNA from 1 species